CCUACGGGUGGCAGCAGUGGGGAAUAGUGCACAAUGGGGGAAACCCUGAUGCAGCGACGCCGCGUGAGUGAUGAAGUAUUUCGGUAUGUAAAGCUCUAUCAGCAGGGAAGAGAAUGAAGGUACCUGACGAAGAAGAUACGGCGAAAUACGGGCCAGCAGCCGCGGGAAUAAGUAGGGAGCAAGCGUUAUCCGGAUUUACUGGGUGUAAAGGGAGCGCAGAAGGCUGGGCAAGUCUGAUGUGAAAGUCCGGGGCUCAACCCCGGGACUGCAUUGGAGACUGUCCGGCUAUAGUGCAGGAGAGGUAAGUGGCAUUCCUUGUGUAGCGGUGACAUGCGUAGAUAUUAGGAGGAACACCAGUGGCGAAGGCGGCUUACUGGACUGUAACUGACGUUGAGGCUCGAAAGCGUGGGGAGCAAACCGGAUUAGAUACCCCGGUAGUC
rnacentral:rRNA from 1 species